rnacentral:rRNA from 1 species
AGAGUUUGAUCCUGGCUCAGGAUGAACGCUGGCGGCGUGCCUAACACAUGCAAGUCGAGCGUGAACUCUCGGAACGAAACUUCGGUCUAGGGAAGAGGGGGAAAGCGGCGGACGGGUGAGUAACGCGUAGGUAACCUGCCCCAUACGUAGGGAUAGCCUAGGGAAACCUGGAUUAAUACCUGAUAAUGCGAGGAGGCCACAUGGCCACUUCGCCAAAGAUUCAUCGGUAUGGGAUGGACCUGCGUCUGAUUAGCUAGUUGGUGGGGUAACGGCCUACCAGGGCAACGAUCAGUAGCCGACCUGAGAGGGUAAUCGGCCACAUUGGAACUGAGACACGGUCCAAACUCCUACGGGAGGCAGCAGUGGGGAAUAUUGCACAAUGGGCGCAAGCCUGAUGCAGCAACGCCGCGUGAGUGAAGAAGGUCUUCGGGUCGUAAAACUCUGUCCUUAGGGAAGAAACAAAUGACGGUACCUAAGGAGGAAGCCCCGGCUAACUACGUGCCAGCAGCCGCGGUAAUACGUAGGGGGCAAGCGUUAUCCGGAAUUAUUGGGCGUAAAGAGUACGAAGGUGGUUUUGUAAGCGCAGGGUGAAAGGCCGAGGCUUAACUUCGGUUAGCCUUGCGAACUGCAAGACUUGGGUGCAGGAGAGGAAAGUGGAAUUCCUAGUGUAGCGGUGAAAUGCGUAGAUAUUAGGAGGAACAUCAGUGGCGAAGGCGACUUUCUGGACUGUAACUGACACUGAGGUACGAAAGCGUGGGGAGCAAACAGGAUUAGAUACCCUGGUAGUCCACGCCGUAAACGAUGAGCACUAGGUGUCGGGGUCGCAAGGCUUCGGUGCCGCAGUUAACGCAUUAAGUGCUCCGCCUGGGGAGUACGCACGCAAGUGUGAAGCUCAAAGGAAUUGACGGGGACCCGCACAAGCAGCGGAGCAUGUGGUUUAAUUCGAGGCAACGCGAAGAACCUUACCAGGGCUUGACAUCCCUCUGACCGGCCGGUAACGCGGCCUUCCCUUCGGGGCAGAGGUGACAGGUGGUGCAUGGUUGUCGUCAGCUCGUGUCGUGAGAUGUUGGGUUAAGUCCCGCAACGAGCGCAACCCUUGUCAUUAGUUGCCAUCAUUCAGUUGGGCACUCUAGUGAGACUGCCGGGGACAACUCGGAGGAAGGUGGGGAUGACGUCAAAUCAUCAUGCCCCUUAUGUUCUGGGCUACACACGUGCUACAAUGGCCGGUACAGAGAGAAGCAAUACUGUGAAGUGGAGCAAAACUCUAAAACCGGUCCCAGUUCGGAUUGUAGGCUGCAACUCGCCUACAUGAAGUCGGAGUUGCUAGUAAUUGCGAAUCAGAACGUCGCGGUGAAUGCGUUCCCGGGUCUUGUACACACCGCCCGUCACACCAUGGAAGUUGGGGGCGCCCGAAGUUGGUCAUCUAAUCGAUUACCUAAGGCGAAACCAAUGAUUGGGGUGAAGUCGUAACAAGGUAGCCG